rnacentral:rRNA from 2 species
GGCAAAAGCUCAAAUUUGAAAUCUAGCACCUUCGGUGUUCGAGUUGUAAUUUGAAGAUGGUAACCUUGGGUUUGGCUCUUGUCUAUGUUCCUUGGAACAGGACGUCAUAGAGGGUGAGAAUCCCGUCUGAUGAGAUGCCCAUUCCUAUGUAAGGUGCUAUCGAAGAGUCGAGUUGUUUGGGAAUGCAGCUCUAAGUGGGUGGUAAAUUCCAUCUAAAGCUAAAUAUUGGCGAGAGACCGAUAGCGAACAAGUACAGUGAUGGAAAGAUGAAAAGAACUUUGAAAAGAGAGUGAAAAAGUACGUGAAAUUGUUGAAAGGGAAGGGCAUUAGAUCAGACUUGGUGUUUUACGAUUAUCUUCUCUUCUUGAGUUGUGCACUCGUAUUUCACUGGGCCAGCAUCGAUUCGGAUGGCAAGAUAAUGGCAGUUGAAUGUGGCUUCACUUCGGUGGAGUGUUAUAGCUUCUGCUGAUAUUGCCUGUCUGGAUCGAGGGCUGCGUCUUUUGACUAGGAUGCUGGCGUAAUGAUCUAAUGCCGCCCGUCUU